rnacentral:rRNA from 1 species
UUACCGCCGUUGCCUCGGCGGGCCGCGUUCGCCCGUGUAGUUUACUACCUGGCGGCGCGCUACAGGCCCGCCGGUGGACUGUUAAACUCUGUUAUAUAUACGUAUUUCUGAAUGCUUCAACUUAAUAAGUUAAAACUUUCAACAACGGAUCUCUUGGUUCUGGCAUCGAUGAAGAACGCAGCGAAAUGCGAUAAGUAAUGUGAAUUGCAGAAUUCAGUGAAUCAUCGAAUCUUUGAACGCACAUUGCGCCCAUUAGUAUUCUAGUGGGCAUGCCUGUUCGAGCGUCAUUUCAACCCUUAAGCCCCUGUUGCUUAGCGUUGGGAAUCUAGGUCUCCAGGGCCUAGUUCCCCAAAGUCAUCGGCGGAGUCGGAGCGUACUCUCAGCGUAGUAAUACCAUUCUCGCUUUUGCAGUAGCCCCGGCGGCUUGCCGUAAAACCCCUAUAUCUUUAGUGGUUGACCUCGAAUCAGGUAGGAAUACCCGCUGAACUUAAGCAUAUCAAA